CAUGGAGAGUGCAUUGUAAAUACUGUCUUAUUUUGUUCUUGCUGGGUCAGUGCUGCAGACUGCAAACGUGAGGAAAUCGCUUCAGCCAGUGCUGAAACCACAUUUACUUACCUGUGUAUUUAGCGGUCUGGUUUAGACCACACACAGAUUACAGUGUGUGUUAUACCACACAGCUGUUGCUGCUCAUUGAUCUUUGGGUUACCAAUGCCAUAAAAUCCCUCCCUAACCUCCUUCUGCUGAUCUGUAGCAUGGAAGAACAAGUUGAAGGCAUAUUCUCAUCAGGAAAUGAAUUCUCAUCUCAUUAUUCAGGUGUACGUCUCUGAAGAAACCCAUGUUUUUCCAAGCAUGGCCUAUUGCCAAUCCCAGGUCUGUAACCACUGAAAAACGAACACGAUGAGAAUAUGAAAAAAACCCCAGAGAUCUC
rnacentral:lncRNA from 1 species